AUUAGUGGCGAACGGGUGAGUAACACGUGGGCAAUCUGCCCUUCACUCUGGGACAAGCCCUGGAAACGGGGUCUAAUACCGGAUAAUACUCCUGCCUGCAUGGGUGGGGGUUGAAAGCUCCGGCGGUGAAGGAUGAGCCCGCGGCCUAUCAGCUUGUUGGUGGGGUAAUGGCCCACCAAGGCGACGACGGGUAGCCGGCCUGAGAGGGCGACCGGCCACACUGGGACUGAGACACGGCCCAGACUCCUACGGGAGGCAGCAGUGGGGAAUAUUGCACAAUGGGCGAAAGCCUGAUGCAGCGACGCCGCGUGAGGGAUGACGGCCUUCGGGUUGUAAACCUCUUUCAGCAGGGAAGAAGCGAAAGUGACGGUACCUGCAGAAGAAGCGCCGGCUAACUACGUGCCAGCAGCCGCGGUAAUACGUAGGGCGCAAGCGUUGUCCGGAAUUAUUGGGCGUAAAGAGCUCGUAGGCGGCUUGUCACGUCGGAUGUGAAAGCCCGAGGCUUAACCUCGGGUCUGCAUUCGAUACGGGCUAGCUAGAGUGUGGUAGGGGAGAUCGGAAUUCCUGGUGUAGCGGUGAAAUGCGCAGAUAUCAGGAGGAACACCGGUGGCGAAGGCGGAUCUCUGGGCCAUUACUGACGCUGAGGAGCG
rnacentral:rRNA from 1 species